rnacentral:sRNA from 1 species
ACGAGAGGGGGCAACGGGGUGGGUGAGUGCAGUGACAUAAUGCCCCCGGCAGCGGGCGGAAAAUGGAAAUGGAAAAUGCCAGCGCGGAAAAUUGUAAUUAAGUGCCGCCGUCCAGCGGCGGUAGGAGACGUUUAAAAUUUUAUUUAUGGCCCGAUCUCUCCUCCUCUUUUGAGGGGCGCUAGACUGAGGCGUGGCAUUCGGUUAAUGUUGUUAAUUAAAAGGCAACGCCUGGCUCGAAAAAUGAUUAUCCAGGCACAGACUGUGUAAAAAAUGUAACAAAGAGCACUUUGGCACAUUUUCAGCUGGCAUGAAAACUUAAUUCAACUACAAAGACUAUCCCUUGUGGAUCUACAGAAGUUGGAUAGUUCCAUAUUCCAAACGCCAUCUUGUAACUAGUCCUACCCACUCCCAAUAUGAAACUAUUUAGGUGAGGGUCGAGGGACUAACGUCUCUAUCGGCCACGCACAAACUCUUUUACGGCCUAAACCUGAGCCUAUCUCAACCAAAUCGCUCAGAAAAGUCGAGCGAUAUAUCUUUGGAGAACGCAUGCAAAGCAAAUGAGACGACGCACGCUUGACACAAAUAUAUGCCAUCGAACCGAGUUUGGCCCUGGAGCACAGUGCCUGAAAGUAUCUCGCAGUAUGGCCGCAGAGCCAACAAAUCAAUGUUGACAGCUCGGAACGGAGGACCAGACGCAGAGAUCGGGAAUGGACGGAGGCGAGCGACAGACAGGUGAUAUUUAUGCAUGCUUACAUUGCAGCCUCUGUCUCCGUCACAGAUGCAGAUUCAUAGAUACAGAUACAAAGAUGGAGAUACUGCCUCUGAACGUGUCGUGAGAAAAUGGAUUCCGAAAUCAAAAACAACAGACCGUAACCCGAUUUUCAAAUAAAUAGCAAUGCAUACUGGGCACACAUGUAGUAAUGAGCACAUCUGGGAGAUGGAAGACCAGACCAGAUAGUCAGCCUUUUAAAAUCUUUAAAACUUGAUUCAGGAUUUGGGGUAGCUGUGCCAACUGAAAGUGAUUGGGCAUGAAUAAUAUGGCAUAUUCCUUUCCCGAGUAAUAAAAUUAUAUUCAGCGAAUCUAUCCACGAAAACUGUACAUAAAA